rnacentral:lncRNA from 1 species
UCUCCCCUUGGACGCCGUCGCGCCCGUCCGGAAGCUAUGAGCGUGGGCACUCAGGCAAAGCUACCGCCAGAAGUUUUGGCGAUGAGCUGGUCUCCUGGCGCAGAGAGUGUACAUAGAACCCGCAUUGGAAUUGUUUGGCAAAAGGAAUCUACGUGCUGUCUGCGACAACGAGUAGCCACUCCCCAGUGGUUUUGGCCAAGGCUACUCUUGUCCAGUUUUCUUUCAGGUUUCAGUCUAAAGGGGAAAACACUUCUUUCCCACAUCAGAUGUUUCCUGAAGCAUGGAGGGGGUGCCACUAACAUAACACUCAAUACUUUGUUCCAGCGCUUCUAGCAAGUUUCCUGAUGUGGCAUUUGGGGGACAACACCUGACUUUACCGGUAGCCCCACAAGAUUCCACAAAAAAAGUGACUUCUUACCUAAGAGGCUAACCACAUCCCAAAUUGAUCUCAGUGGACUCCAUCCCCCCCCAUGGUUGUAAGCAUAGUUGAUACAACACAGGAUCCUGCACAUAAGUCCAGCCUUAUCAUACCUUAGUAGACUGACUUGUCGAAGCUACUUAACUUUCAUCAGCUUCAGUUUCUUCACUUGUAAGAUGGGAUGAGAACAACAUCUUCCCCAAAGAUCAAACACAAGGAUGAAGUGAGGUAAGGUAUUUUAAUUCAUUGACUUUGAGGGCUGGGUGCUAGGAGUUUACCAUUUUGACACUUCUCACUGGGGAAUUCAGAGGUACAUCAGAGUGUGAGAACUUACGGUCUAGGAUAUGUCUACUUUCUCAUCUAGGUCUCUGGAAUGUCAUAAGGGUUCUAUAACCAAGAAUAAAACUGCAGUGCUUAUUUACAGGAGAUUAGGGAGAGUUUUAUGAGCCACUGGGAGAAUCAACUCACUGCAGGGCCUUCGGUGUGGCCCUUGAAACUUGCUCCUGAUUUCCUUCUUGAGCUGCCACAAUCCACUGGCUGAUCCUUCUUGAGACGCAAUGCCAGUUCCUCGUCAUAAUAGUGAGAUUAACCCUGAUUUAGAAAUCUUGCUUUCCUGGCAGGAGCAGAGUUCAUUUCUAUUUAUAGCAGAUCUUUGGACUAGAACUCUCUCACUGCCUCUGAACUGAUUCUUUUAGCUCAGGAAUUUUAAAAUCAGUUCUGAUUCAGAGCAGAGUUGUGGCUGCCGGCAUACACCACAGCAAUAGCAACAGCAGAUCCAAGCCGUGUCUGCAACCUACACCACAGGUCACUGCAAUACCAGAUCCUUAACCCACUGGGCAGGGCCAGGGAUGAAACCCGCAUUCUCAUGGAUACUCCUCGGGUUUGUUACCGCUGAGCCACAAUGGGAACUCCUGUACUGCUUUUUUAGAUAUGGAUGUUGAGGAAUUAGGAAAUUAGCUUUCAUUUUGCUAAUUAGCUUUCUAAAUAAGAUUAUCCUUUUCACAAGAUUAUAGAACUGGAUUAAUCCAAAGAAUAGCUAAAUAUUUUUUUAGCCCUCAAAGCAUUACCUAGAUCUUUACUUAUCUUCCCCUCCCCACUUCUCUCCUCCCCCCUACCCCUCUUUUCUGUCCUCUUCCUUUUCUUUUCUCAUUCAUCUUUUAUCUGUCAUCCAUCUUUCAGUCUGCUUAUCCUAUUCUUUCCUUCCUUCCUUCCAGUCCCAUCCUCCCUCCUUUCCUUCUUAUCUAUCUAUCUAUCUAUCUAUCUAUCUAUCUAUCUAUCUAUCAUGGGUCUUUGUCUACCUGUAUUUUGUUUUGUUUUGAUGGGAUUGGGAGCAAAGGUUAUAAGGGAGGAGUAAUUAUCUAAAGUUUUAAAUAUCAUUGAAGUUCAUUUGACAUUUUGCAUGUAGGCAGAUCAUUUAUACUUAUAUGCUGAAGGCUAGAAUUCCUGGUGACAAGAAAAUGGUUAUUCUCCUUUACCUCUUCAGAAGAAGAGAAACUAAACUUUCUCUUCUGAGAGUUCCUGUUAUUGCUCAGUGGAAAUGAAUCUGACUAGGAUCGAUGAGGAUGCAGGUUUGAUCCCUGGUUAAGGAUCUGGUGUUACUGUGAGCUGUGGUGUAGGUUGCAGACGAGGCUCUGAUCCCGUGUUGCUGUGGCUGUGUUGUAGGCCAGCGGCUAUGGCUCCAGUUCGACCCCUAGCCUGGGUACUUCCAUAUGCCACAGGUGUGGCC